GUGGACGUAGCUCAGUCGGUAGAGCACCUGAUUGUGGUUCAGGAGGUCGCGGGUUCGAAACCCGUCGUCCACCCCG
rnacentral:tRNA from 2 species